rnacentral:rRNA from 1 species
UGCUUAAUACAUGCAAGUCGAGCGGACCGACGGGAGCUUGCUCCCUUAGGUCAGCGGCGGACGGGUGAGUAACACGUGGGUAACCUGCCUGUAAGACUGGGAUAACUCCGGGAAACCGGGGCUAAUACCGGAUGCUUGAUUGAACCGCAUGGUUCAAUCAUAAAAGGUGGCUUUCAGCUACCACUUACAGAUGGACCCGCGGCGCAUUAGCUAGUUGGUGAGGUAACGGCUCACCAAGGCGACGAUGCGUAGCCGACCUGAGAGGGUGAUCGGCCACACUGGGACUGAGACACGGCCCAGACUCCUACGGGAGGCAGCAGUAGGGAAUCUUCCGCAAUGGACGAAAGUCUGACGGAGCAACGCCGCGUGAGUGAUGAAGGUUUUCGGAUCGUAAAACUCUGUUGUUAGGGAAGAACAAGUACCGUUCGAAUAGGGCGGCACCUUGACGGUACCUAACCAGAAAGCCACGGCUAACUACGUGCCAGCAGCCGCGGUAAUACGUAGGUGGCAAGCGUUGUCCGGAAUUAUUGGGCGUAAAGCGCGCGCAGGCGGUUUCUUAAGUCUGAUGUGAAAGCCCCCGGCUCAACCGGGGAGGGUCAUUGGAAACUGGGGAACUUGAGUGCAGAAGAGGAGAGUGGAAUUCCACGUGUAGCGGUGAAAUGCGUAGAGAUGUGGAGGAACACCAGUGGCGAAGGCGACUCUCUGGUCUGUAACUGACGCUGAGGCGCGAAAGCGUGGGGAGCGAACAGGAUUAGAUACCCUGGUAGUCCACGCCGUAAACGAUGAGUGCUAAGUGUUAGAGGGUUUCCGCCCUUUAGUGCUGCAGCAAACGCAUUAAGCACUCCGCC